rnacentral:rRNA from 1 species
UACGGAGGGUGCAAGCGUUACUCGGAAUUACUGGGCGUAAAGCGCGUGUAGGUGGUUUCGUAAGUCUGGUGUGAAAUCCCGGAGCUCAACUCCGGAAGUGCAUUGGAUACUGCGGAACUAGAGUGCAGGAGAGGAUGGCGGAAUUCCAGGUGUAGAGGUGAAAUUCGUAGAUAUCUGGAGGAACAUCAGAGGCGAAGGCGGCCAUCUGGACUGCAACUGACACUGAGACGCGAAAGCGUGGGGAGCAAACAGG